UGGAUGGGAGUGUGGGAGUGUGUGUGUGUGUGUGUGCAUAUGUGGAUGGACCCUUUAUUGAACUGUAAUAAGCUGCACAGGUUAUACAGAUGGAACAUUUAUACACAGGACAAAAGUGGGUUUAAAAAUUUCUGAAACACAACCACACAUACUACCUCUCACAGUAGACUACAACUCAAAACCAUCAUCAUCAUCAUCACCAUCAUCAUCAUCUCACACAUUUACAUCCAAACCAUCCGAUCCUAAUGUUUCAUCCAGGACACACAGCCAAGUGGAGCAGUGGGGAGAUGGGGUGUGUGUGUGUGUGUGUGUGUGUGUGUGUGUGUGUGUGUGUGUGUGUGCAUGUGUGUGUGUGAUUGUGCGUG